rnacentral:rRNA from 1 species
GAUGAACGCUGGCGGCGUGCCUAAUACAUGCAAGUCGAGCGAACAGACGAGGAUCUUGCUCCUCUGACGUUAGCGGCGGACGGGUGAGUAACACGUGGAUAACCUACCUAUAAGACUGGGAUAACUUCGGGAAACCGGAGCUAAUACCGGAUAAUAUAUUGAACCGCAUGGUUCAAUAGUGAAAGACGGUUUUGCUGUCACUUAUAGAUGGAUCCGCGCCGCAUUAGCUAGUUGGUAAGGUAACGGCUUACCAAGGCAACGAUGCGUAGCCGACCUGAGAGGGGGAUAGGCCACACUGGAACGGAGCCACGGUCAAGCUUCCUACGGGAGGCAGCAGAAGGGAACGUUCGGCAAUGGGGGAAAGUAUGACGGAGCAAGGCGGAGUGAGUGAUGAAGGUCUUGGGAUCGUAAAGCCGUGUUAUUGGGGAAAAACAGAUGUGUAAGUAAAUAUGCCGGUCUUGACGGUACCUAAUAAAAAAGCACCGGCUAACUACGUG